CAGCCAGCUUCCUGACCGAACUCCCUCGGCUCGGGACUGGUGCCCAAAGGCUGCCGAGGGGGCUCAGUUGGAAGAAGGCCAGCUGGGUGAGCAUGGGCCAGUCAUGUGUUUGACACCCCCAGCACCAGACAAACCAGGUGUGGAGAUGCAUCCCCAGAAUCCCAGAACUCAGCUGGUGGAGCCUCCUCCAGCACCUGGGGGCUUUCCCCGAGAGCCGUCUAAGGAUGCCAGACACCUGUGGGAACAGGAACAGGGACAUUUUCAGCCCAUCUUCGUUACGGGGCCAAUAUCUGAAGCUCAACUCGUCGUCUGUAUCACUGACUGCAUUUGGGCCAUUUUACUAUGAGUGACAUUUGAACCCCUGGGUCUACUAGCUGCAGCCCAGUCAGAAGAGGAAGAGAGAAGGAAGACACAGAGAAGCCAGAAAAGGAGAGCCUCAUGGAUGGUCACGGAGAACUUGAAGCCACACCGGGUUCUACAGCAAAUGAGUAACUCAGCAAUUCUUCCUGCCUGGAGGUGGGUGAGGUAACCGACCGCUCUGUGUGCCAAAGGCAGGGGAGGUGAGUCACAAUCACCCUCUUUGUUUGUCUCCUCGGUGACUACCUGAUCCAUUUCAGUAAGAGUCCAGAGGUCUGACUAUUGACUCAGGCUUGGCAAAGCCAUAGAAAGGGCACUGAGUGGAGCUCACCAGUCAACCAACAGCUGACCUUCACUGAGGUCCUCGUGUGUGUCAGCUUGCAGGGCAGUGCUUUCGGACAGUUGUAUCUUCCCGAAAAGAAAAGGCAGGGUUUGCUUGAACCCCACCCGGAAGCCAGGGAUCACAAGCAGGUUUUCCUGUGGAAGCUGCAUGGCCACGCACGUGCUGAUGGGAGCAUCACUCAGACUCCGCCUUCUCUGCCUUCUUCCUGCCUUGGACCAUCUUCCGAUUCCGUCUCCUGUGCCAGGUGGGCAGAGACCAACUGCCCUCACACACUCUGCUUUCUUGCUCUUUCUCUUGAAAAGUCAGGGCCUAAGCACCCAUUUCCUUCCCCUGGUCCCCUCCCUGUGUCCCACACUACUGUGACUGAUAAUUAAGGAAGGACUUGACAGGUCCUCCCUGCUUGACCUGAAGUCCCACCUGUAAGGGGCCCAACAGGAUCGAACUGACCUCCUGUCCCUAAGCCUGGGAGCCUCUUUCCAACACUCCUUGUCGCCUAUGGUUCCUAGAGCAAAGGGGAGUAAAGCCAUGCAGAAGAGGUGCAGGGGGAAAGCAUCUGUAAGAAAAUGGAAUCGUGUUUAUAAAUAUUAUGGGUUAGCUUUGGGAUUGGGUUCAAAGGCAGCUUGUGGGGCCAGCGUGAAUGCAUGGUGGCUUAGCAGGUGAAGUCUCUAGAACCCACACAGUAGAAACACACACACACACACACACACACACACACACACACACACACACACACACACGGGAAUGCUUAACUAGAAAAAAGAUUGGAAUCUCACUACGCUUUUCCGUUUUGCACCCACACAGUAGAAACACACACACACACACUCACUCACACACACACUCACUCAUACACACACACACACACACAGGGGGGAAUGCUUAACUAGAAAAAAGAUUGGAAUCUCACUACGCUUUUCCGUUUUGCACCCUCCCCAACCUCUGUGACACUAUCCCACAUUCAGUUGACUUCAGGCUUUCACGUGUGAGAAAACGUGUGGCCCUUGUCUUUGAUGUGUGCCUUACUUUACUUACCACAGCAUCCUCCAGUUGUAUCCGUUUUGCUGUGAAUGCCUGGGUUCCAUUCCUCUUUAUGGCUGACUAAUACUCUGGUCUGUCCAUUCCACUUUUCCUUCUGUUGAUGGACACCUAGGAGGAGUGUAGCCCGUGAAAUGUUUGGGCCCUUACCCAUCAAUCCCUUGAACCAUGCUAUCCCCUACUUGCUUAAGCCUAUUCCAUAUUCGUUGUUUGUUGACUUUAACUCUUUAAACUUAUUUAUCACACCAUCUGCCUGCAUUAUAGCCUGGACUAAUGAAUUCUUUCUUUACAAUUUCAAAUUUAAGAAUCUCCCUUCGACCUUCUUCUAGACCCAAGGCCCCCCACUCUUGUCUGCCUGGCUGAUUUUCAUCUAAAUGCAUCUAAAUGUCA